rnacentral:rRNA from 1 species
AACGAACGCUGGCGGCAGGCUUAACACAUGCAAGUCGAACGCACCUUUCGGGGUGAGUGGCAGACGGGUGAGUAACGCGUGGGAAUCUACCCUUCUCUACGGGAUAGCUCCGGGAAACUGGAAUUAAUACCGUAUACGUCCUGAGGGAGAAAGAUUUAUCGGGGAAGGAUGAGCCCGCGUUGGAUUAGCUAGUUGGUGGGGUAAAGGCAUACCAAGGCGACGAUCCAUAGCUGGUCUAAGAGGAUGAUCAGCCACAUUGGGACUAAGACACGGCCCAAACUCCUACGGGAGGCAGCAGAGGGGAAUAUUGGACAAUGGGCGCAAGCCUGAUCCAGCCAUGCCGCGUGAGUGAUGAAGGCCCUAGGGUUGUAAAGCUCUUUCAGUGGGGACGAUAAUGACGGUACCCACAGAAGAAGCCCCGGCUAACUUCGUG